AGUGAACGCUGGCGGUAGGCCUAACACAUGCAAGUCGAACGGCAGCACAGUAAGAGCUUGCUCUUACGGGUGGCGAGUGGCGGACGGGUGAGGAAUACAUCGUAAUCUACUUUUUCGGGGGGGAUAACGUAGGGAAACUUACGCUAAUACCGCAUACGACCUACGGGUGAAAGCAGGGGAUCUUCGGACCUUGCGCGAUUGAAUGAGCCGAUGUCGGAUUAGCUAGUUGGCGGGGUAAAGGCCCACCAAGGCGACGAUCCGUAGCUGGUCUGAGAGGAUGAUCAGCCGCACUGGAGCUGAGCCACGGUCCAGACGCCUACGGGAGGCCGCAGUGGGGAAUAUUGGACAAUGGGCGCAAGCCUGACCCAGCCAUCCCGCGUCGGUGAAGAAGGCCUUCGGGUUGUAAAGCCCUUUUGUUGGGUAAGAACAGCAGCAGCUUAAUACCCCGCUGUUCUGACGGUACCCAAAGAAUAAGCACCGGCUAACUUCGUG
rnacentral:rRNA from 1 species